rnacentral:rRNA from 1 species
GACGAACGCUGGCGGCGUGCUUAACACAUGCAAGUCGAACGGUGAACCUCUUCGGAGGGGAUCAGUGGCGAACGGGUGAGUAACACGUGGGCAACCUGCCCCCGGCUCUGGUAUAACUCCAAGAAAUUGGGGCUAAUACCGGAUGUUCACCGCUUCCCGCAUGGGUGGUGGUGGAAAGGGUUUCCGGCUGGGGAUGGGCCCGCGGCCUAUCAGCUUGUUGGUGGGGUAGUGGCCUACCAAGGCGACGACGGGUAGCCGGCCUGAGAGGGUGACCGGCCACACUGGGACUGAGACACGGCCCAGACUCCUACGGGAGGCAGCAGGGGGGAAUAUUGCGCAAUGGGCGGAAGCCUGACGCAGCGACGCCGCGUGGGGGAUGACGGCCUUCGGGUUGUAAACCUCUUUCAGCAGGGACGAAGCGCAAGUGACGGUACCUGCAGAAGAAGCGCCGGCCAACUACGUG